ensembl:lncRNA
GCAAUGUAAAGGAAGGGACUCCUGUGGGCUCAAAGUAUGACCUGGUGCUGGAAGGCUUCCCUGCAAUCUGAAAGCCUUGAUCACUCAUUGGACGACGGUCAUGCCAAUCCUUGCCUCCUGGCAAAUGAGCUUAGAGCUGGCGCUGGAGGAAGUGGUCGCGGUUGACCCUUCCAGCUCCACCUACCGUCGCCAGCCCAUCAGGGUCUUUCCCGCCUUGUCCGCCGCCAGCUCAGCUUCGGUGUUGGUGGGCGGGUCUGCGGGCCACCCCCUCACCAUUCCUGUUGUGGGGCCCACACCAGCAACUUGCAGACUCCUGUUCCCUGUGCAGCCGACGUCUCUGCUGUCCCCACCCCCACCCUGCGGUCCCACUGCCAACAGCGUCUCCUCAGCACAACGCUUAGCCCGGCGGACGCCAUCUUCCCCGCAGACAUCACUGCAGGACGAUCACUGUCUGGCACGUCUCUCCUGCCAUGUCUGCCACAGAGGAGCACGACUGGAUCCCAGGUGGCCCAGAUGGAGCUGGUGGCGGGGCGGGCCGUGACCCCAGUCUCCUUGGGGUCCAAGCAUCUGCUUGCGAGGGGACGGAAGGAGUCGAGGAGGCCACGGCUCUUCUGGCUUCCUUGGAGGUCUCCAAAGCCCUUCCCGGGGAGCAGGGUUGGCCACAGGCCGCAGUGGAAGAGGAAUGUGGUAGAGAGCCGUUAGAGGAGGAGGAGAUGGAGGAAGGUGUAGAGAUGCAGGAGGACGAGGAAGAGGGUGAGAUUGAUUUCGAGUUGGAAGGCGUGGAGGAGGAGGAGCACCUGUCUGGAGAGGGCGAGGAAGAGGAGGACGAGAAUGAGCAGGAGGGUGCGGCAGUGGUUACAGGCCUUGGGUUCUGCAUGGAGACAUUUGGGCCCCUGUUCCGGAGUCACGUUGACUCCUUUCUACGCAAUUUCCGUAACAACAAAGAUGUCUUCUUCCCGCCUUCCACUGACCGCCUGAUGGCCAGGGGCCGCUCCCAGCCACCCUCGGACCCUGGAGAAGGUCCGGUGCCUCCUCAGGAGCAGGAAGACCUGGGAGAGGGAGGCAGAGUCUUGCAGGGCCUAGACUCUGCUGCUGAUUUGAAGUUGAGGUAUUUUCCCUGCCAACUUUUGACCCCAAUGUCUGCAUCAUUCUGCCCCAAUGAUGAGGGUGAGGAUCAGUAUGAAAAUGCUGAUGAAGAGGAAGAGGAUAGAAAUGAAAAACCUGAAGGACUCUGAAUGGAUAUGGUCUCAGCAAAGAGCAGCUCUGGAUAAUACAGUGGGAAGGCAUAGAACGAAGCAGACAGCAAAAGAAAAGAUGAAUUUGUUCUUCAUGGAUAUUCUUGUUUUCAUUAGCCUGAAAUGCUAAUUUUGUUUCAAAGUUUCAACGCCCCAAAAUGAUAUUAACUACUGACAUCUGACUUUACUCUUACCUUUUACAGAUAAUUUGAUAGUAUUGUUCACAUUGGAAAUAAAAGCUUGUUUGAAAUUAAUUCUCCCUUAGCCCAGUCAAGUUGACACGUAAAAUUAACCAUCAUAAUCCUUGUGGAGAAUACUCACCCUGUACAUUGCCCAUGAGAUGACAUACUUACAGGAUGAUGACCUUCCACGUAUAACAAAGACAAUUUGAACAGCUCCUAGGUGUCAGGUUGCUCUAACAAACACAUUUGUUAACAAAUGUAUUUUCUUAAUUAAGAAUGAAAUGGAUAGCAUGUUUAUAAAAUAGUCUUUCAAGAUAAGUUUGAGAAAAAGGUAUUCUAAAGGCCAGUGUCUAGAGGCCCAUCCCUUUGUCUCAAUUUAUUCUGCUCCUGCCCAAUGUCAAGAUUGAUUAUCUCUAACUUGGAUCAUUAACAGCCUCAUUCUCUCUGAUUUUCUGCACUUUCACUAUGAUGUGUCUAAGAGUGAAUUUUUGUUUUUUAUCCUGCCUAGAACUCACUGAGCUUUUAGAAUCUGCAUUUCAAUUGCUCUGAAAAAUUCUUGGCCAUCAUUUUCUUCCCCGUUUCUCUCUCCUGUCUUUCUGGGAUUUGAAUUAAACAUAUACUUUGUAUCUCUUAUCCUACUUUUUUUCAUAUUAAUCUAUUUCUCCAGGCAGAAUUCUGGAUGAUUUCUUCUAAUCUAUCUUCCAAUUCAAUAAUUGUCUUAGGUUUAUUUUUCUUGAUUACAUUUAUCAUGAUCUAAUGGUUAUGCCAAUUUUUAUUUAUUUAUUUAUUUUUUGCUGAGCUUCAUGGCUUGUGGGAUCUUCCUUUCUUGACCGGGGAUUAAAACCAAGCCACUGCAAAGCACAUUGAAAGCAUGAGUCCUAAUGGCUGGAGACCAAGAGAAUUCACUCUCUGCUGCUUUUUAUGAUUUUCUGUUCCCUGAAGAUAUUUUAAAACAUACUUUUUAAUUUUUUGAAAUGUAGGCCAUAGUGAUUAUACUCUACUCUUCAUUCUGGCUGUCACUUACAAUAUAUUUUUUUUCCUUAUGUGUGUACAUAAGGUACAGGGCUUGAAGUUCCUUGGAUCACUAAGUGAUGUAUAUCUAGGCUGCAAUUUAUUCCAGCGCUCGUUACUUCUGGUUCACUAUUACCUGAAAGGGGUAGUCACUUAUUUUCAGCUUAAAGUGGUGGCAGAGCUCAUCAGACCUACUCAUUGGAGCUGUGAGAUUUGACUUUCAUUUUCUUUUCCCAUGAGGCCACCAAAACCACAGAUCAGUUCCAUAAUUCUUUCUUCUAGAUUCAGCUAAUGCCCUCAGGAAAAACUGGCUCUGAGUGCUGGGCUUUCCUAUUUGGGUUCUUGUCUUCUUGAAGAUUUUAGUCUCAUAGUUUCUUAGUGCUUAACAAAGAUACUUUCUUUAUACAUUUCAUCCAGUAAUUUUUAGUUGUCCUCAUUGGGAUGGUUAGUCCAAAUUACUAAGCCUGCCAUUACUGUAAGCAGAGGUGUUCACCACCCUCCUAACUUCACUUCUUGUCACCAAUCUUUCUUUCUUUCUUCCAGUUUCUCCUCUAGAAAGUAACUGAAAGUUUCUUUCUGAUGGCGUUAUUUUCCUGCACAAAUCCUCCAAAAGCUUGCUGCUAAAUGUAAAUUAGAAAUCAAAUUCCUCAGUUUGGACAAUCAGAUCGAAAAUGCUCUUUCUGAGAAAGUACUGUACAGCGCAGGGAACUCUACUCAAUACACUGUGGUGACCGAAAUGGAAAGGAAUUCUAAAAUAGAGGGGAUAACCGAUUCACUUUGUUAUACAGCAGAAGCGGAUAUAACAUUGUAAAGCAACUAUACUCCAAUAAAAAUUAACUUAAAAAUAAGAGAUGUGGAUGGAAAGUGGAGUAUGUGGAGUAGAUUAUGGAGAGAAAACAUGAAGAAAAGUUCUCUGCCAGUUAAUGAGAAGUCUGAAAUUUUUAAAGUAAGAAAAUGAUGUGAUUUUAUUUGGAUUUAGACAUGGCACUUUAUUGGCAGUAUGGAAAUCUUGUAAGUGUCAUAAAUAGAAUGUCUGCAUUCCCCCAAAAUCUAUAUGUUGAAAUCUUAAUUCCCAAGGUAAUGGUAUUAGAAGGUGGAGUGUUUGGGAGGGGCCUAGGUCAUAAGGGUAGAGUCCUCACAAAUGUGAUUAGCACCUUAUUUAAGAGGGUCCAGAGAGAUACUCUGCCCCUUCUGCCAAGUGAGGACAUAGUGAAAAGUUGGCAUUUAAGAUCCAGGGAGUGGACUUCAGGAGACACCAAAUCUGCUGGUGCCUUGAUCCUGGAUAAACCUGCUUCUAGGACUGUGAAAAAUAAAUGUUUGCUGUUUAUAAAAUAAAACAUUCUUUCUUAGCUUCAUUUAUUCACUGAGUAGGUAUUUCCUUUGCACUGAAUGUGUGGCCCUCACUAGGCCAGAUGCUACCUAUUCUUUUGCUUCUUACUUCAUUUACCUCUUGUCUUACCUCCCAAUCCACCUUAUACUUUAGCAAAACUGAAAUACUCAUUGUCAUGUGACAGGGCCAAGUCAGAUAACAGAUAGGCUAACACCUAGGUCAGUGAUAUUUCCUCUACCUCAAAAUACGAUAUUCACGUUUAAGUCAUAAUACCAUAUUCAUGUUUAAGUCCAUUCAAUCUAGGUAUCUAUGAAUAUUCUAAUAAAUGACCAAGACAAAAACUCAAAAAGCACAAAGUGACUUUCUCAUAUUCCUUACUGUCUUUUGGAAUCUUUCUCAUAUAUAUCUGGGAUGUAAGCUCUGGAAAGAAAUUCAUUUUUGCCAUCAAGCUUUUGGUAAUUUCCAUAGUCACAAGGGGGGCUUCCUUGGUGGCCAAGUGGUAAAGAACCCACCUGCCAAUGGAGGAGACAUGAGUUCGAUCCCUGGGCUGGAAAGAUCCCCUGAAGAAGGAAAUGGCAACCCACUCCAGUAUUUUGCCUGGGAAAUCUUAGGGACAGAGAAGACUACAGUGGGGUCCCAAGAGUCAGACACAACUUAGUAAGUAAACUAAAACAGUAAAACUGUGAGGCUUUUCUGUCUACAUGUUGGGGCCAGGAUGCUGGAGAAUUAGAGUGGCCUGCUCUCCAGGGCUAACUGCCUUGAAGAUCUGAUACACUGACCUUUGCCUUCUUUUCCACUUCUAUGAUGCCAGCCAAGAAGCCUCACGUCAACUUUGCACCCAUUAGCUAUGGGAGGGGGGCGCUCCAGGUGCCCAAUUUCUGACCUGAUGACCCUCCAGAGCCCUAUCAUAAAACACAUUGACUGAACCUCUUCUACCCUUUCCAGAAGAGAGGCACUUGGGUUGCCUGGAAGCCCAAGGAUCUCAGAACGAUCCCGAGUCAACUAGCUUCUGAUCCCUCAAAGUUGUUGAGAGCUUUCAGAAUUCAACAUGGACACUCCAUUUACUCCUUUCACAAUGAAAAGCAAACUC